UGGACACACAGAUAUUGCUGAUUGUACUGGGUUUCUUUUAUACCCAUCGCUACAGUAGAGCAAUUCACAGGACUAAAGUUUUGAUGAAAAAACACAAAACAAAACACAGUAUUUGUAUUUAUUUAUUUAUGUAAAAAAAAAAAAAAAAACCAGAAGUAGAGACGUACAAGGACUAGAGAGAGGUAAUGUGCAAGCUAGCAAAAAAUAUAUAUGACACAAAAAUAAAGGUAACAAAAACAUUAAAGCAAAGAAAAAGUACAACAAAAUUGUUUUAAAUAGAUAUCAUUGAAGUUAUAUUUGUAUACAGGUAGAGGAAAUUAUUGUUUUCUCAAUGUUUUGAGAAAGAACAUAGCAGUUACACAUGUUUAUAAAAAUGAUAAAACGAUUUUUUUAAAUCAACAAAAUGAUAAUUUGGUUGUUAACUAAUGACAAAGUGUGAUAUUAGAAGAGUAUGAAUGAUGGCAAAACACAUCUAUUUGUUUGUCUGUUACAAAACAUUUUCGGCAUAAGUUUUACAAUAACACUAUUAGCGAGUAAACGAUUGUAUCAUUAAAUGAUAUAGAAUAGAAUAGAAUAGAAUAGAAUAGCCUUUAUUGUCAUUGUACAGAGUACAACGAAAUUGGAGUGCCACUCCCUUAUAUACUGUAACAGUAACAGUAAGAUGUUUGGUUAAAAUGCUAAGGCUCCACACUUACACGGGUAUUUUUCAAAACGGAGAUUUUCCGUUUGUGUUUUUAAAAAAAAAAAAAAUCCUGUCCACACCUAAACGCAAAAUUGAAGGAAAACGCUGCUACGAACAUGCCAAAGCAACAGGUGGCGACAUAUUCCUAACCUUGUAGAAAUGUUGGCCAAUCAUAAGUAAUGGCCUGUAUUUGUAUAGCGCUUUACUAGUCCCUAAGGACCCCAAAGCACCAGUGUGUGAAUCCACUCAUUCACACACUGGUGAUGGCAACUGCAUUGUAGCCACAGCCACCCUGGGGUGCACUGACAGAGGCGAGGCUGCCGGACACUGGCGCCACCGGGCCCUCUGACCACCACCAGUAGGCGGUAGGUGAAGUGUCUUGCCCAAGGACACAACGACCAAGACUAUCCAAGCCGGGACUCUAACCGGCAACUUUCCGAUUACAAGGUGAACUCCCAACUCUUGAGCCAGAUCGCCUAUAAAGUCUAGAAGCCUGGACAGGAAAGAGUAAACAAAGAUGGCGCAUAGAAGCAGAACUGAGUCCUAUGUGUGGAGGGACAGUAACUGUGUGUGUAUAUGUAAGCAUUUAAACACUGCAGAGAGUACAAGUAACAGUAUUUUGUGUAAGUCUGCCAUUGUAGAAAUUCAUUUCACCGAAACAAUAACGUGGCGCACAGUGUGACGUCAAAAAAGGCGCACACCUUUGACGCUGCGUUUUCUCCGUUUUCCUCGUCCACAGUAAAUGCAAAAACGGACUUUUCGAAAAUAUCCACCCUGGCAGGCGUUUUUAAAAAUCUCAGUUUUCAGUGACCGAAACGCCGUUUACGUGUGGAUGAAAGGUGCAAACGCAUAGAAAAAUCUGCAUUUUCAAAAAUACUCGGUACGUGUGGACGUAGCCUAAGAUAUCAUGUUUUCAAAUUGUCCAAAUCUGCAGGCAAUAUUUGCUCUUCCCUACUUAUUCUACAGUUUUAACAGUUUACAUAUGACAAAAAAAGAUUAUUGAGCAAAGUAUACAUAUGUAAGUUUAUAUUUCUACACUUUUUUCAGUAAGCUCAAAAUGUGAAUAUUUAUCAAAAAUAUAAUAAUAUUUCCAAGGUCAGUUUUCAGAGUAGAAUAAAAAAGCUAUUGUAAGCUGCCCUGAAGCACAAAGACCUUUACUUAUUUUUAUUGUGGGUUUUCCUCCUGGUCAUAGCUGCACUGCUUAACAAUGUUCCCUCUAAUUUUUCACAUGUCUGAGCGAACGCACAAACUCCCUGAGCGAUCCCUUGGACCACUGUGAGCGACAUCAGACGUGUGCACUGUGGUCACGCCGGCAUCAAAUCCAUCCAAGUUUCAUGGUUUAUUAAAAUAAUCAAAUUACAGCGUUUACAUUUAUGUUAGACUACUUUUAAUUAACUGCUUUAGCCCAUUUACAAUGGAAAUGUAAAAAAAUCUUGUUCAUGACCUGUGUAGUAUGUUAACACUUGGAAGUAAAAAUAACUUGAACUCCAAUUUCGAAAACACAACUUUCUUUCUUUUUUUUAAUUUUAAUUUUAAUUUUUAUAAAGCUCUUACUUGUAUUAUGAGUCUGUGGUCUGGGAGAGAGUCCUGUAACUCUGUCUCCAAAAUACAGUAUAUAAAGACCAAUGCUGGGCAAUUAAUUAUAUAGUUACUUCUUCAAAAAAGUAACUCAGUUUGGCAAACAACAACGUUUUUGCAGCUAUUUUUUAAAUGCAGCCAAGGCGUUUUUAAAUAAACAUUUCAAACUAUUUACAGAACAAUCAGCUGUUCUGCAUCAAAUCUGAUGCCACAAAAAUUAUUUGUGUCACUCCAAAAAAUUAUUUCUGUCCACUAUGAGAUAAAGGAGAACAACAGCCUGAUACCUGCAGGCCUGAUAACAGGAGAUGUAUCACUGCUGUAACACCUGUAACAUUCAGCAGUCACCUCAUUGUUCUGACACACACAACAAAACUACUGACUACACUACACACUAACGACACAAGAUUUGCGCUAAACGUUGCAAAUCUCUCACAUCUCAAAACACCGCCAUCACUCCUAAAACUUCCCCCUUUCUUAACAACUAGAUGCCACGUUGCCAUAUCAUUUUUGAUUGGUUGACAUGGUACUUUUUUGGACGAAUAGGAAAGGCAGAGGGGAGUGGGGUUUGUUUUUGCUCACAGGUGGAGAGUGCUUUCGAGCCUUUUUUCUUAUAAAACGCCGAUUUAACCGUUUCUUCCUGCAGUAAAUAUAAACAAUGACAGUAUUCAGGAAGAAAACC
ensembl:lncRNA